GGUAACAGAGAGAAGCUUGCUUCUUUGCUGACGAGUGGCGGACGGGUGAGUAACGCGUGGGAAUCUACCCAGUAGUUGGGGAUAGCCCGGAGAAAUCCGGAUUAAUACCGAAUAAUGUCUACGGACGAAAAGGUGCCUCUUCUUGAAAGCACUUGCUAUUGGAUGAGCCCGCGUUAGAUUAGUUUGUUGGUGGGGUAACGGCCUACCAAGACUGCGAUCUAUAGCUGGUUUGAGAGGAUGAUCAGCCACAUUGGGACUGAGACACGGCCCAGACUCCUACGGGAGGCAGCAGUGGGGAAUAUUGGACAAUGGGCGCAAGCCUGAUCCAGCAAUACCGCGUGUGUGAAGAAGGCCUUAGGGUUGUAAAGCACUUUUAUGUAGGAAGAACGGUUGUGAGUUAAUAGCUCAUGACUUUGACGGUACUACAAGAAUAAGCACCGGUUAACUCCGUGCCAGCAGCCGCGGUAAUACGGAGGGUGCGAGCGUUAAUCGGAAUUACUGGGCGUAAAGGGUACGUAGGCGGCUUGAUAAGUCAGAUGUGAAAUCCCCGGGCUUAACCUGGGAACUGCAUUUGAAACUGUCUGGCUAGAGUGAGUGAGAGGUUAGUGG
rnacentral:rRNA from 1 species